UUAUGGACGUCACUGCAAAUCAGUUUGUAGUGAAGGCUGCCUCUCAGUGUGUGAUAAAAAGAACGGAACAUGUGAGAAAUGUAAAGAGGGUUACGCAGGAGCAUUCUGUAUUGAUGUUCAUGUACUACAACGUCGGAUGACGUCGAUAAUCGAAAUAGCGGGAAUAACCACAAGUGUCGCCUGUUUCAGCAUACUGUUUGCACUCGUUUUGAAAAGGGAAAGACUAGGUCCUAUGUGAAGUCUACUUCAGUACGAAAGCAAUGGAAAAACCAAGCACCAUAACUGGCCAAACAAAUUCUAAUCUUCAUGAUGAGUGGAAACCUUUUUUCCCCCUUGUUUUUAAGUUCUGCCCGACAUGUGUAAUUAUAGCCCCAACAGAAGCUUAAUAUCUAAUUGUAUUAAAUUUCUAUGUGCUUGUAUUAAUAUCUGAACUGAAUUGACGUCUAAUUCUGGCACAGUGUACUCAUUAAUUACAUUUCUAAGUGUAAAGUAUUGUGUUUUUUGUAAACAUUCCCUUAUAACCUUACAAUAUAAUUUGCGUUUUUAUGCUCGUGUAGGAAAUUACAUGUAAUUUUAUUUUUUUGAACAAUACCCCCCCCCCCCCCCCUUGAAAAUAAA